ACAGAUGAAAACGCGGAGGGUCAGGGGAGUGAAGCAGGACUUGCCAGCAAAAAGGAAAACCUCAAGUGAAGGCGAUCACUGGGUUGGCCCUUUCAUCUUAAAGAGUCUGGGGCUGCAAACGGCUUGGGGCCGCCCACCCCUCGCUCACUGGAUUAGACUAGGGGUCGGCUGGCAGCCAGCAGGCCUUGGUAGUGCCCAGGUGCCCAGGAAGAGGGAGCCCGCGGCGGGUGCCUGCGCGUCUGCCGAGCGCAGGGCUGCAGCUGCGGGGCCGGGGCGCAGAGCGCACCACCGGCUCCCAUGCGUCCGCCUGGGGAGCCUCGCGCCAGUCCCGCGUCGCCGGACGCCCGGCUGCAGCAGCAGCUAAGCAAGGGCGCAAUGCCGACCGCCCACGCGCCCGCAGCGGUCCGGGAGCCCAGCGCGAGUUCCCAGGCACGAGGCACAAGCGUGUGAGCGCGGGACUGCUGCGGACACAGGCUGGCAGUGCCACCGCGCGCCCACCGGCACUGCCCCACGCCUUACCGUAGCUGCUCCCCAGUGACCAGGACCUCAGCCAUGCGCUCCAGCUCCCUUUGCUGCGCUCCACCACUCCCACCGGUGCUGCUGUCGCUGCCACCGCUGCCACCGCUACCGCUGCUGCCCUCCUCCAUGGUCGGGCCGCGCCGCUACUACCACUGUCUUCCCUAGACGCCGUGGGUUUGGGUGUUAAAUCAGCCUGCCCUCACGGAGGCCUCCCCCGCCAUCUUUGUCAGGGGCAGUCCCGUUGCUCAAAUGCGAUUGGCUAGAGAGGGAAUCCCUGUGGGUAGGUUGAGGCGCUGGGCAAGUCCGCUCCAGGAACUCCAGCUUGGGGCGGUGGCUGGAGCCCCGCGUGGUCGGGGGGCGGGGCCAAGGGAGGAAAAUAUAAACAUCUGGGCGGGGCGCCGGUUCUGCGUCGUGUGUGCUGGUGGAGGUUAGAUAGGUGACCUCAUUUUUCGUUACCCACAGAGCUCAUGCCCUGGGACCUUGGGGAAAGGUUAGGAGGUUACCGAACAAGUGUAAAGGUAUGUUUAUUAUACCGCCUGUGCUCCAAAUUGGCAGAGUAAAAAUAAUAAUGAAAUAGCUCGACAGUGAACAAUGAAGGAUAUACUGAUAUACACGUCACUGCAGGGGUUGGUGAAAUUAGGCGUUCUUCUCGUCCCAAUGCCCUUCACCGAAGAUAGUUUAUUUACCUUAUGGUGUAAUCACUAAAGAACGCUGGCCAGGGAAUCGCAGAGCUAGGAUCCAGCUCCACGCCUAUAAAUUCCUACCGAAAUGUGCUUAAUCCUCAGUUUCUUCCUUUACAAAAUAAAAAUAAUUAUGGCUACCACUUGUUGACCUCUACUGCAUUAAAGAUGCCUCAGAGGAAAGAGAGGAAGAAAUUCUUUAAUUUUUGCAACAAAUCAUAAAAUGGGUAUUGUCCUCAUUUUGUAUCAGGAAGCAGGCUGAGAGAGAUGGGGUAACUUGUCCAAGGCAAGCAGGUAAUAAAUGCAAGAAGA
rnacentral:lncRNA from 1 species